AAUGGGGGAUAACGUAGCGAAAGUUACGCUAAUACCGCAUAUGCCCUGAGGGGGAAAGGUGGGGAUCGUAAGACCUAUCGCUUUCGGAGUGGCCGAUAUCAGAUUAGCUAGUUGGUGGGGUAAAGGCCUACCAAGGCGACGAUCUGUAGCUGGUCUGAGAGGACGACCAGCCACACUGGGACUGAGACACGGCCCAGACUCCUACGGGAGGCAGCAGUGGGGAAUUUUGGACAAUGGGGGCAACCCUGAUCCAGCCAUGCCGCGUGAGUGAAGAAGGCCUUCGGGUUGUAAAGCUCUUUCGGACGGAAAGAAAUCGCCAUUUCUAAUACAAGUGGUGGAUGACGGUACCGUCAUAAGAAGCACCGGCUAACUACGUGCCAGCAGCCGCGGUAAUACGUAGGGUGCGAGCGUUAAUCGGAAUUACUGGGCGUAAAGCGUGCGCAGGCGGUUUUGUAAGACAGGUGUGAAAUCCCCGGGCUUAACCUGGGAACUGCAUUUGUGACUGCAAGGCUAGAGUGUGGCAGAGGGGGGUAGAAUUCCA
rnacentral:rRNA from 1 species